rnacentral:lncRNA from 11 species
GAAGACUCAAAGUCUCCUCUGCCACGAGCAAUGCUCCAGAGCAUUGUACAGCGCAUACUUGUGUCUGCCAGAUGACAAAAAAGCACACAAGCCGCCUGGACAACAUUCCAAUCAAUUGUGAAAGAUUGCUUUGAUUUCCUUUUGUGUGAAGAAAGCCAAAAAAGCUUUGGACACAGUGCAAAGAACUCAGC